rnacentral:lncRNA from 1 species
GUGUAGAUGGAAGAAAAGUGAGCUGAGACUGAGAAGAUCGAGUGUAAUUCACUCCAACCACCUCUCUGCAACAAGAACCAGAAUUCCCACAUCGAGCUCAGUGGUCUUCCAUUUGAUUCUUGUAGUGACAGGGAUCUCACUCCGUUCUGAGAGAAUACUGUUUCAGUUUAUUCCACACAUUGGACUUAAAUCCUACUUCCUGCGUCUUCUGCUAUCAAGUGUUUCAUAUCCUGUAACCAUAAAAGACGCCCCCCCAUCUUUUCUGGAUAACAACUUAAAAGUUAAAUAACCCGAUCUAUUUAUAAGUAUCAGUUAUACACAAAUGCUUUUAAAGUGUUUUGUCUUCGUUUAUAAAACACAGAAGAGUUAUUAUUGAGGUUUAAUACCAAAUUCAGAAGCAACAUGUGAAUUGGUCUCUCUCAGAAUAUUACUGCAUUUUGUACAUGGGAUCAACCCUGGGCAGUUUGGGCAAGAACAUCUUUAACAGACAGCCAAAUCUCAGAGCAAAGAAAACCCAGGCUAG